rnacentral:rRNA from 1 species
UGCCUACGGGAGGCAGCAGUAGGGAAUUUUCGGCAAUGGGGGGAACCCUGACCGAGCAACGCCGCGUGACGGCCGCCGGCCUUCGUUCUGUCCCCUUCUGUUCUCCCGGCCGACCGACGGAUGGAGGAAAUGACAUCCGAGUGACGGUACUUUAUGAGAAAGCCACGGCUAACUACGUGCCAGCAGCCGCGGUAAUACGUAGGUGGCAAGCGUUAUCCGGAAUUAUUGGGCGUAAAGCGGGAGCAGGCGGCAGAAAAGGUCUGUGGUGAAAGACUGAAGCUU